CCCUUAGAUGUUCUGGGCCGCACGCGCGCUACACUGUUCGACGCAGCGAGUCUUAACCUUGGCCGAAAGGUUUGGGUAAUCUUCAGCAAAGUCGAACGUGAUGGGGAUCGAUCAUUGCAAUUAUUGAUCGUGAACGAGGAAUUCCUAGUAAGUGCAAGUCAUCAGCUUGCGCUGAUUACGUCCCUGCCCUUUGUACACACCGCCCGUCGCUACUACCGAUUGAAUGGUUUAGUGAGAUCUCUGGAUUGACGCUGGCUAGGGGGCGACCCUUGGCCAGACUGCUCGAGAAACUGCUCAAACUUGAUCAUUUAGAGGAAGUAAAAGUCGUAACA
rnacentral:rRNA from 1 species